rnacentral:lncRNA from 1 species
GAGGAAUCUGAACAACCAUGUGGGAUGUUGUUGUUCCUUCUCGAGGGUCACUCUCUCUCCAUGCCCUGAAACAUUCUUUGAGCAGUGACAAGCGUGCUGCUGGUGGAGCCACCGGAUCGAAUGCUUUAUUCUGGUGGUUGACACAUCCUGCUCACCAUCUUCCCCGCAUGAGCUUUUGGCACACCACCACAGUCUACUUCCAAUCCAAAUUGCCCUGCACACACCCUACUGUUGCUUUGUGUUGUGUCUUGGUGAGCCUUCU